rnacentral:misc_RNA from 1 species
CGAGUUGACCUCGGAUCAGGUAGGGAUACCCGCUG